GACAGUUCGGUCCCUAUCCGUCGCAGGCGUAGGAAAUUUGAGAAGACCUGUCCUUAGUACGAGAGGACCGGGAUGGACGUACCUCUGGUGUACCAGUUGUUCUGCCAAGGGCAUGGCUGGGUAGCUAUGUACGGAAUGGAUAAGCGCUGAAAGCAUCUAAGCGCGAAGCCAACUUCAAGAUAAGAUUUCCCACCGCAAGGGUAAGAC
rnacentral:rRNA from 1 species